rnacentral:lncRNA from 1 species
CUCUCUUCUCCCCUUUGGUUCCAAGGCCCAAAGGCAUUGGACGUCCUCCAUCUCCACACCCAAGAGGAGCUUGGGAACCGUCCUUUUGCUUGCUGAUUUUCAGACCUUGAUUGCUUCAUAAUCAAGAGAAUGAGAGUAAGAGAAGAAGAGAAUAAAAGAUCAAGAAAAAGAUCAAAGAGUUGAUCGCGAUCUAGGCUUCAUUCAGAUUCGUAGGAUGAUUAUUCUUGGAGAAGAAAGAUCAACACCAAAGAGGGCUGUUCCAGACCGAUCCUGAAUGGAUACCCAU